UACGGGGGGGGGCAAGCGUUGUUCGGAAUUAUUGGGCGUAAAGGGCGCGUAGGCGGCCAUUCAAGUGACGGGUGAAAGCCCUCGGCUUAACCGAGGAACUGCCUGUCAGACUGGAUGGCUUGAGACCGGGAGAGGUGAGUGGAAUUCCCAGUGUAGCGGUGAAAUGCGUAGAUAUUGGGAGGAACACCAGUGGCGAAGGCGGCUCACUGGACCGGAACUGACGCUGAGGCGCGAAAGCGUGGGGAGCAAACAGG
rnacentral:rRNA from 1 species